GCCCGGGUAGCUCAAUUGGCUUAGAGCGUGGGACUUUUAAUCCCAAGGUUGUGGGGUAAGUUUAAGUCAGCUCUCAACUAACGUUGCAGUAAUGAUUAAUAAUUCUCGUGCUUAGUUCGAUCCCCACCUCGGGCG